rnacentral:rRNA from 1 species
AUUGAACGCUGGCGGCAGGCCUAACCCAUGCAAGUCGAACGAGUGGCGGACGGGUGAGUAAUGUCUGGGAAACUGCCCGAUGGAGGGGGAUCACUACUGGAAACGGUAGCUAAUACCGCAUACCAUCGGAUGUGCCCAGAUGGGAUUAGCUAGUAGGUGUGGUAAAGGCUCACCUGGGCGACGAUCCCUAGCUGGUCUGAGAGGAUGACCAGCCACACUGGAACUGAGACACGGGCCAGACGCCUACGGGAGGCAUCAGUGGGGAAUAUUGCACAAUGGGCGCAAGCCUGAUGCAGCCAUGCCGCGUGUAUGAAGAAGGCCUUCGGGUUGUAAAGUACUUUCAGCGAGGAGGCGUUACUCGCAGAAGAAGCACCGGCUAACUCCGUGCCAGCAGCCGCGGUAAUUC